rnacentral:tRNA from 1 species
GGAUGUAGCGCAGCUUGGUAGCGCAUCUGCCUUGGGAGCAGGGUGUCGCAGGUUCAAAUCCUGUCAUCC